AAUUAUGGUGGUGGAUGGAUAUAGGUGAGUUAUGGUGAAGGGUGGAUGGGUGGAUUGUGUUCUCCCGGCCAAGGAAUGAAAGUGUAAGUGUAUGGAGUUGUGAGAUGUGAAUGUAGUGUCUUUUGAUGGAUCUUUUUCCCCCCUUUUUGUUAUGGUGAAGGGUGGAUGUAUUUAUAGGCUAGGGAGAGGACCACCAUCUAAUUAAGGUGGUAGUGGUGUAUGUUGUGGUAAUAAGUGGAUGUAAUGGGUGUAGUGGAUGAGUAUUUGGUAAUGAGUGGAUGUAAUGGGUGUAGUGGAUGGAUGUUUGGUAAUGAGUGGGUUGUGGUAAUGAGUGGAUGUAAUGGGUGUAGUGGAUGAGUGUUUGGUAAUGAGUGGAUGUAAUGGGUGUAGUGGGUGGAUGUUUGGUAAUGAGUGAGUUGUGGUAAUGAGUGGAUGUAAUGGGUGUAGUGGAUGAGUGUUUGGUAGUUGUAGGUCAACACACUUGCACACACACAUGCUGAUUUCUAGCCUUCUAAUCUUGGCCCAAAAAUGCUUCAAAGUUCUCCAAAUAGCACUUUGUUGCCAACUUUGUUAUUUGAACCUAUAAACACACGAAAAUAGCUUAAAAUACAUAAUUAACUAAGAAAUAACAACACAAAUGCACAAGAACAAGCUAACUAAGUCGCAUAAAUAUGCUCCUAUCAAAUUCCCCCACACUUAGCUUUUGCUAGUCCUCGAGCAAAACAAAAGAAACAAAACGAAACAAAACAAACAAAACACAACCUAACCUUCCAACAUUUGCCUCAGGGAUUUUCCAUGAAACAUGACAUGCCAAAGAUCACAACUUACAUAGAUUUAAGCAAUCCUUACCCUUGAGCAUACUUAAUCAUCGUCACCAUUCACUAGCUCACAUUUAAUUAAUUAAAACAACAUUUUGAAUGUAGUAACAUGCCUUAGAGAAUUCCCUCAAUUCCUUACUAGAUACUCUCUAUUUUCACACACAUUUUCUGACUACACACCCUACACUAGUUAUAUGUGAGAAGAUUGAUGUAAACAUGGAAGACUAGUACUCACAUAUGUUAUAACAAAGAAAGCAAUUUCUAGAGUUAAUAAGCAUGUUUAGAUAUGAUCUCAUGAAUAGUAUGCUACUACUUAGAUGCGAGAACCAGUGACACCAUAUGCUCAUACCAAUUUCGAACUCCAAAAAUUGAAACACACAACACUCACGAUUGAAGUCAAGGGUUGUAACAGGGCUUGGGGGUAAUGGCUAACAAAGAAAUGAUAGGAAUAACAAAAGUUCGUAAAGCAAUAGCAAGCAAAGCAAUGAAAUAGACACUUGGAAUUCACUUUAGAAUGCAGAAUCAACUUUUACAUAUAAAGGGAAGAUUCAUGCAACACUUAGGGCCGAAUUCAAUGUUUUUGGACCCUUUCUUCAACAAACGAGAUUUUAAAGCUCUUUUUCACAACUUUUCUUCUUUUCAUUCUAUUUUUCACGAAUUUUUCUUUUUCUUUUUCUUUCCUACCCGUUCCUUAUUAAGGACUUUGGCACACACACACAACAAGAAUCACUUCCCCCACACUUGUUUUCUGCAAUACAUUAAUAAAAAGGAAUUCAUUUUGAGUCAUACUUUACUAUGCUUCAAGAACAAGGGUAUGGAUGGUUCUAAUCUAGGCUAGGUGAGGAUAGUGUGGGUUAACAAAGAACAUAGGCUACACAAGGCUCAAUGGGGUUAAACUUAAACAUAUAAUGAAGUAGGAUACACGGCAGUUUGGCUUUGGUGGUGGUCACUACACAACUUCAUCUUGAAUAUGUGUUAUGCAAAUCAAUAGCAUGCUUUGAAUGAAAUGGGCAUGAGUUCUAGCAUUUGGAACUAAAUGAUGAAACGCCUUAUAAGUAGUAACCAAGCAAAGAAUAAUGAGAUCAUGCAACGACUUUAGAAAACAAGAAUGCACAUAUUAUUAUCUCUCCAAAUAAACGUUUUAGGCUCAAGUCUCACAAGGUUGUAGCGUUAAUUUGAGUUCCUUCCUUCAAGCAUGUUACAAAACUGAUUUUUCUUUUAUGAUUGCAUGUGAAUUCAUAAAUUUAAACCAUAACCAAGCAUACACCAAAGAGUAAAUCAAAUUUUCAUCCAUGUUUAUAACUCUCUUUAACAGUCAUGUAAUUAAAAACCAAGUGCUGGCUGAUUGCUCUCUUUCUUCUUGUCCCAAAACAACGACAAGGAGAAGGACAGGGAGAAAACAUGAUAUGAGAUACUCUUGCUUUCAACCUUCAUGAUAUGAAAUACUUUUGCUUUGGAUGAGUUGUUUGCAGAGGUACCCCAAGGAAUAAGGAACACUGAGUGACUCGAGAGGGUUUGUUGGAAAGGCAUUCUCGGAGAAGAAUAAGGGUUAUGUAUGUCUGCCUUGCAAUGGAGGGUGAAGGGUGACAUUUAUAGGAAUUAAUAACCGGUACUAUUCUUUCACCCUUGUCAGCAACUGUUGGAUGAUUUAAUAGUAAACUUCACGUGUUUUCUACUUCACAAGAGAUCUUUGACAGAUUGCCCGUAAUAUCCACAAGGCUAAGUGUGCAUGUGACAGGCGCUGACACGUCUCGAAAAGCAAGUGCCUCUUCGAUAUCUGGAAUCGGCGCUUUGACAAACUACCCGUGAUUUUCGCCAAGUUGACUCUGCAUGUGACAGAUGCUGACACGUCUGGAAAAGCAGAUGCUUCUCCGAUUUCUGAGCUUGCCUCUUCGAAUUCUGACCUCGCCUCUUCGAUCUCUGAAAUCCCAUCGAGUGCAGAGGUUGCAUGUGACAAGUGCGGACAAAACUGGAAAAGAAGAUUGGCCUGUGGUUUCUGAGCAAGCCCAGCUUUUGAGAAAGCUAGCGCCUCUUCGAUUUUUGAGUUGGCCUCUUCGAUUUCUGAGCUCGUCUCUUCGAUCUCUGAAAUCUCGUCGAGUGCUGAUUUUUAUAGAGGUACGUAGGACGUUCAAAGAACAUUUGAAUUUCUGCCUGUAGAAACUCCCUUCUUGCACUUCUACGACCUUGACUUGUCCGACCUCUUCUUUCUUUAACACCUCUGAAAAUGUCUGGCCCCUCCGACCGUCGUUUUGACUUGAACCUUGGUGAAGAGGUAGUCCCACCUUCUCCAGACAACAUAUGGCGCCCAUCCUUCAUAUCCCCUACUGGUCCUCUUACCGUUGGGGAUUCGGUGAUGAGGAAUGACAUGACCGCUGCGGUGAUGGCCCGGAACCUUGUCACUCCCAAAGAUAACAGACUACUUUCCAAACGGUCUGAUGAGUUGGCUGUUAAGGAUUCUUUGGCUCUCAGUGUGCAGUGUGCAGGUUCUGUGUCUAAUAUGGCCCAACGCCUAUUUGCUCGAACCCGUCAAGUUGAAUCAUUGGCGGCUGAAGUGAUGAGUCUCAAGCAGGAGAUUAGAGGGCUCAAGCAUGAGAAUAAAUAGUUGCACAGGCUUGCACAUAACUAUGCUACAAACAUGAAGAGGAAGAUUGACCAGAUGCAAGAAUCUGAUGGUCAGAUUUUACUUGAUUAUCAGAGGUUUGUGGGUUUGUUCCAACAACAUUUGCCUUCGUCUUCUAGGGCUGUACCACAUAUUGAAGCUCCAAAUGAUCAACCUCCGUUGCCUCCUCCUUCUGGGGCUCCGCCGACUACUGAGACUUCUCCUAAGCAGCCUUUGUGAAGGCUCCCUCUGUAAUUUUCUGCUUAAUGUUCCUUUUUUUUCAUGAAAAUGAAUGUAAGAAUACCUUGCAUAUUUGUCAAUGUUUCAAAAAUAAACCCACACCCAAAAAUAAUUAAAUAAACAACAAAAAUAAAAAAUGACAAUCAUGGCAAAAUAGAAAUGCAGAAAAAUGAAGGUUUUUAGAAACGCAAAACUGAUUGUGGAGCGAUUCAAAAAACUUCCUUAUUUGAAUACAUGGGUUGCCUCCCAAGAAGCCCUGGCUUUAACGUCCUUCAGCCGGAUGAAACUUCCUUCUAAACUUGGAUAGGGCCCAUAGCAUGGAACUGAUCCUUGAAUGGAAGGUGAUACUUGACAUGAUUCGACAAUGGUUUAAAUUAUAAUGUAGGUGCCUGAAUCAUUAAAAUCAGCAAGUUAGUAUAAACUAAAAUCGAAGUUGGAAAAGAUGGCUUACUUUUUUGCUCCAACACAAACUCAAUUACAAACGCCACAUCUUUGAAGGUUGUAGGGAUAUGGGACUUGGCCAGAUUUGGUGUUUUGAGAGUUAUGAUUUGUCCCGUGUCAUAAAAUCCAACUUCUUUGAGAAUUUCGUCUCAAGUGUAUCUUCUUUAAUGAAUUUUAGACAUUCCCCAUCCACUUCUUACUCUUGAUUCUUUGGAAAGGUUUAAGGUUUCGAAUAUGCCUUUCUCAUCUUCUUCUUCCUUAGAUUGCUUGAUCCUGUAAGGAAUAAGGACAUUUGGUGAAACGGGGUCAGAACAAUUUGAAUUUAGGCUUACCUUGGUUGUAGUGGACGGCAUAAAGGGCAUAUAGGGCUGCGGCAAGGGUGGUUCUUCCCUUGUCGUCGCCUUGUUAUUCUCCUCAUCUUCGAGCAGCAAUUGUUCAUCCAUGUUUUGGCUUGGUUUGGAUGUCUUGGGUUCACCUCCAACCUCCAUAGCACUUCCCAAAGUGAUAGCAUCAUGGAUUUCAAAAUCUUCCUUCAAAUUUUCAAUAGUUGAGUUGGAAAGUUCACUUUGCUCUUGAAUUUGUGCCAUGAACUCCAUAAUCUGCCCAAUUUGCUUCUCCAAUUCUCUCGUCUUCUUAGCUUGAUUUUGCAUCUCUUUGUUUCCAUUUUCUACUUCCUGGUUCAAAGAGGUGAGUAACUUAUUAAACAUAUUAUUAUCCAAAAAUGUACCUGAAUUGAAUUGGGCAGAUUGUUGUGGUGGCUACAUAGGUCUUAAAUAGAAUUCCUCUUCUUGCUGCCAAUACCCAUCUUGUUGGAAUUGUUGAGGUUCUCCCCACAUGUAAUCUGAAUAAUCUCUCCAAUCCGAAUUGUAAGCGUUGGAAAACAUGUUGUCUCAUGAUUGGCUAUGGCCUUGAUAACCCCAAGCAUCUUCAUUCGUAGCGAAUUGAGAACAUUAAUGAGUUGGAUAUCCUUGUCCAUAGGACAUACCUUCUGUAGAGACACUUUGCAUUGUGGUCCUUUCGGCAUAUUGUGACAAUGGAGAAGUAAGUUUCGCCAAUUGAGCUUGAAUGGUAGCAAAAUCCAUGUCUUACUUCUCUAGUACCUGAAAUCAAGGAAACAAAACUAAAUCAAAUAUCAUAAGUAAAAAUAAAAGACACAAAUAUAAACAAAGUCAGUAACUAAAAACAAAAGACACGAAAAUAAACAAAAAGAAAUAACAAGGGAUUAGCAAAAUUGCUCAUCCCCGCCAACUGCGCCAAAAAUUUGAUGCGAAUUUUAACUUAACACACAAAUUAAACCCUUUUGUUGUCAAAUUGUAGUAUAAAUGCAAGUAGGGAUCGUUCUAAACCAGGGAUUAUGAAGGCUUGCUAAAACCUCUAAAUUGACUUAAAAACAUAUAAACAAAGUUAAAAACACUAAACUAGACUCAAAGAACUUAAAACAAACUCAAAGGACUCAAAACAAGCUAAAAACGCUCAAAUCUGCCUAAAAACACAAACUGGGUAGAUUUGGACUCUAACACACUUUUGGGACACCUAAAAACACAAAUCAAAACAGAUUUUGACUAAUAAAACACUUUAAAGUAAAGGGGGUUUUGGUUUUGACGAAUUUGAAAACAAAACAAGUAAAUUAAAGAACUAAUGAAAUCUGCACGAAUUUAAGUAAAUUGAAUGGAUGGAAGGCUAGCUAGGAGGUUCUUCUCCACACAUGACAUACUUGCACAUAAACCAAUUUUCAGUUGUUCUUUCGAUCAAUCAUGAAACUCAACACCCCAGGUUAAUUAAGUCCGCUUGAAUUAACCUUCAAGUUCUCCUUAAGUUAUUGAAUUGGAUGGGAAAGCAUAUACAACAAUUCAAGCAUUCUUCAAAAGUUCUUUACGUGAACAGCAUAAUAAAGAUACAAUCAAAGAUCAUUAAACAUUAUGAAAACUAUAAGUAUUGACGAGGCAUUCGUUACUAUGAUGAGCAUGAAACUCCUGCCAAGAAUUUAUUUAACGCGAUCGUUUAUAAGCGACCUUCACUACUUGUGAAUAUAAGUUUGUAACUAUUAGGUGAAACUCCCUUAUACUCUAGCAUCAUAUUCAUGCAUGCAAACUAAGUGUGCACUCUUAAUAAACAUACACGAAUAAGUUAUCAAUCAAGCAGUUAAACAAAUUGAAUUUACAACUUAUGAAAUCACAACUAAAGGUAAUCAAAUCAUAUUGCAAGCAUGAACAUGGUUUCGAAUUCCCCCCUAGCUAAAAGGGGUUUAGUUCCUCAUACUCACAAAGCAAAGAUAAACAAAUUUAUACAUCGAAAACAAAAGAAUGAAAACACCUAAAAACGCUCAAACAAUCCAACUGGAAUGGGAAACACGUCCAAGGGUCCUCCUUCUUCUCUUUGUUGCGGCACAAAGUGUGGUUUGAUGGAUGAGUGGUAAAUUAUGGUGGUGGAUGGAUAUAAGUGAGUUAUGGUGAAGGGUGGAUGGGUGGAUUGUGUUCUCCCGGCCAAGGAAUGAAAGUGUAAGUGUAUGGAGUUGUGAGAUGUGAAUGUAGUGUCUUUUGAUGGAUCUUUUUCCCCCUUUUUUGUUAUGGUGAAGGGUGGAUGUAUUUAUAGGCUAGGGAGAGGACCACCAUCUAAUUAAGGUGGUAGUGGUGUAUGUUGUGGUAAUGAGUGGAUGUAAUGGGUGUAGUGGAUGAGUGUUUGGUAAUGAGUGGAUGUAAUGGGUGUAGUGGAUGGAUGUUUGGUAAUGAGUGGGUUUUGGUAAUGAGUGGAUGUAAUGGGUGUAGUCGAUGAGUGUUUGGUAAUGAGUGGAUGUAAUGGGUGUAGUGGAUGAGUGUUUGGUAAUGAGUGGAUGUAAUGG
rnacentral:lncRNA from 1 species